GGCUUGGAUCUUCUUAUUUCCU
rnacentral:siRNA from 1 species